GCCCCAUUGUAAACAGCUUCUUCCUUAUAUCCAAUCUAAAUCUCCCUUCUUUUAGUUUGAAACCAUUUUCCCUUCUGCUAUCACACGGAUCCUGCUAAGGGCCCUGCCCCUUCUUUCUUACAGCCCCUCUUUAGAUCUGUAGUUCAUCACCGCGAUCUGAGGAUGUGCCAGUGAGGAUACUGUUGGCUGUCCUGCCAGAAACAACAUUAGUUCCUGCCAACAGCUUUUAUGUGGUGUGUUCCAGGUGGCCGACCUACCAAAGGAAAUAGUUCUGUUUAACAAAGGUGGAGAGGCUUUCCCCUUGUGUAACAUCAGAUAGGGAAAGAAACAUGAGUCGAAUGUUAUCUACAUGUGAAAAAGGGGGCACAGAGGAGGUAAAGAAAAUGAGAGCAUACAGAGAAAAGAUAAUUUAACUAAUAGGCAUAGUCUGAGAAAGAACAUGUUUGCCCAGUGUGUGUCUAGAAACACUUGGAAAGUGGCCUAGGGCCUCCAGCUCAUGUCAACAGCUGGCAUAUUCCCAGAUCUGUAUCAGUAGCUGAUUAAAGAGAAAGGAAACUGUUCUGCAGCCCAAAGCAAGGUUAUUCCAAACUUGUAAUGUUUGUAAUUAUCUUUCUGUUCGUUUUACUUAUUCUUACAUUUCGUCAACACACGCUGAGAUGGAAGAGUGCAUCUCUCAAAACAUGAGUCCUGUCUUCAGGUGAAAAAUCACCACUGCCUUUCUAAAGGAGACUGCUAACCUGGCUGCUGAGUUUGUUGUCAGCUGGGCAGGGAGGACUUCAGCCCUAUGCCUAGGUUUGCUGGGGUACUGGUAGCACUGUUACUGGAAGAUGCCUCAUUUUAACAUCUUUCCAGAUUUGAUUAAGCUCUUGGCCCUAGAAAAGGACGGAGUUGUGUGCUGUGAGCGCUCUUUAGAAGUGCUGUUGCUUGAGAGGAAUUAUGUCCACCUUUAUUCAUGGAUGCAUGAUGGUAUGUUUGUGGUGGUAGUUACAAGUAAAAGGAGAAAGCAGUGCACUCGAGUUGGAUACUAUGACUGCAGCUUUAGGGGAAUGUUGCAGAAUGAGUUUGGGCAAUACAAGAGAGGGAACUGUUGUUGCCCUGCUGUCCCAUUGAGCUGACAGCUUGUGUUCUGGAUUCUCAGUAAAUAUUUGAUGUGUUGAGUGAGCUCUGAGGAGAGCAGCCAACUGUUGAAAUCUCACACCUAAAAGCUCCUGUUCCAGUAAAUUCUCCUGUUUGCACAUCCUGAUUCAGAACUGGAGCCUCUUCUUGGAAAAUGCUCCAGGAAGUAAACAACUGCACUCAGUAAAACCUGAUGGCUGCCUCCUACUGGUAAGGCCUAGCACCGGGGCAGUGCCUCCUCCUGAAAGAAAACAGCUUCUGCUAUUUCUUGUGCUUCACACCCUGGGUUUUGGGAUUCCCCUGGAAAUUCAGAGGCUCUGAGAGUCCUGGCAGCUUUCUUGUUUUGUCAGGGGACGGGUCUGUGAGCACUGCUGGAGCUGUGGGUGUCCCUGCGCACUGCAGGCAGUGAGAACGGACGGCCUUUGGGGGUCCCUUCCCAAACCCUUCUGUGAGUCUAUGAUUCUACAAUUCUACUUCUGGCAGAAUGAAGAGGUACUGUUUCCAAGGACCAGUCUGGAUGUUCAUCCUGUUUCCACUUGUCCUUACAGAUCGAAUGUGGUAUAUAGUAACCAUUUCUUUAGUUUAUUUCUUAGUGCUCUUUUCUCUUUCUUUGCUUCCAUGUGCUGCUGUGCCCACGUUUUGAUAUGGGCCCUGACGGCUCGCUACGCGGUGCGUAUCUGUCCUGUCUUGCAACUCUCCUGUCAGCUUGUACUGCACAUCAGACAGGAGUUUGCAGUGACAUUUGAGUGCAUAAAACGAAAGGCCGUGGGAGACAUCUCUAACUGGAACGAAUGUCUCUGCAGAAACCUUGGCUCGUGUCGCACCUUCCUGGGGCGUUCGCCGGGGGCAGAGCAGCUCCUCGGGUACGGGAGGACAUCUGCUGGCUGCUGUGCCGCGGUGCAGCCACGGCCGGAGGCGGUGCGAUGGGAGAGAAGGGUCUGAAGUUUCGUUUAAGGAUUGCUUCAAUGCAAAACAACCUUCUCGCUCAGAGACCUGUACUCAUCAGAGGGAGGAAGAACAGAAGGACACAGAGCAUGCAGAUCCUCUUCUCAACUCCUGAAGGGAUGAGAAGACAGCAGGUCUAGAUAUCACUGGCCUAAUCCACAGGGGGGGUAACAGAAACCCACUCAUCAUAGUAACAAUUAGUAUCCCAUAGUACCCCUGCAUCCAUCUCACCUUUUGCUACAGAUUGCAAGACCGUGUAUGCAACUCUGGGAGCAGACUUCCAGAGUUCUCCUUUGUUUAACCUCUUCAAGUUGGUUAUGAUGUAGCAAAUAGUAUGUUACCCAAACACCAGCCAUUGAUGCACAGAUAAAGAAAACCAAGGGGAAGCGGUUUGUAGGAAAGAUGUUUUUAUUCAGUGCACUAGAUGCUGGCGUCCUAAUGGAACACGACUUCAUAAUAUUGUAAAAAUCAUGUUGACCACAUCUGUUUGCUUACUGCCUUCUCUGUUGUGACGAGGCCCCAGCACUGCAGUGAUGCCUCUUCCAGCUGCCUUUCUGUGCAUUUGGUAGAUUUGCUUUGAUUCGCUUUAUCAAAUUCAUACUCAAUGAAGAAACCUUAACUGA